ensembl:ncRNA F09B9.6 ncRNA
AAAGGAUGCUUAAUACUUUGAUUUGGCGUCUACAAUUUAGUGAUUAUAAUUGAAAUUCACAAACAUUUACUUAGCUCUUGAAUGACUAAAAAACGGUAAGU